GCGGUAAUACCAGCUCUCCGAGUGGUGGGGAUGAUUAUUGGGCUUAAAGCGUCCGUAGCCGGCUUAGCAAGUCUUCCGUUAAAUCCACCGAUUCAAUCGUUGGACUGCGGGAGAUACUGUUGGGCUAGGGGGCGGGAGAGGUCGACGGUAUUCUCGGGGUAGGGGUAAAAUCCUAUAAUCCCGGGAGGACCACCAGUGGCGAAGGCGGUCGGCUAGAACGCGCUCGACGGUGAGGGACGAAAGCUGGGGGAGCGAACCGGAUUAGAUACCCGGGUAGUCCCAGCUGUAAACGAUGCGGGCUAGGUGUUGGGGCGGCUACGAGCCGCUUCAGUGCCGCAGGGAAGCCAUUAAGCCCGCCGCCUGGGGAGUACGGCCGCAAGGCUGAAACUUAAAGGAAUUGGCGGGGGAGCACAACAAGGC
rnacentral:rRNA from 1 species